rnacentral:lncRNA from 1 species
UCUGACACACACCCAGAGUACAAAAAUCCAUUUCCUUUGCCCAACUACGGUUUUCCAGGUCUCCCCACGCUUCACUCCUUGGUCUUAAAAUCCUUUUUGAUUCCUUAUCAAUCUGCCUGUCUUUGGUUAAAUACCACAUAGAUGGCUUUAAUGUGCAUCGUGAAAAUCCAUCUCGAGUGUUUCCAGAAUAUAAAAAUGAGACCAGAUCCAAUGGAAUCGUUUCAGGAGAAGUAGGGCAGUGCCGAGAGGCUAUUUUUAAACUCUGCAUUCUGGUGGUUUGGUGACCUGCCUGUCUCCUGUUUUCCUGCCCAAUGCCAAUGCUGAAGGACUUGGUGCUCCAGUUUUGGGUCAGUUCAUGGUGCCCGGUGGAGCCCAGCAUGGCCCCAGUGAGCUUGGUGUGGGACUUUUUUUUUAUGGAGGAGCAAAUGUGGAGAAGCCUGAGAAGCUUCCAGGAGACUGGUGGGGAGGGAUGCUGAGAGGAGGUCCCACUGUUGCAGAGCAGAGACCUGGAAGUUGCUGCAGGGGCUGUCGGAGUGCUGAGGGGUGACGAGCUGCAGAAUCAGGCUCCUCCCAA